AGUCAGCACUUGCGCCUGAACACUUUUGAACAGCGUCCAGUCGUCGGCCACCAUGAACAAGUGUACUUUCCUCGCGCUUCUGAUGCUGUCGACCCUCCUCGUGGCGGCCGCUCCUGCCGACGGGCGCGCCGCCCCCGCCCCCGCCGCCCCCGCCCUCUCCAGGCCCGAGAGGUCGCCCGGGUCCUCCUCGGCUGCGGCAUCGUCUUCGUCUUCGUCUGGAAGAGGAGGGUCCUCGUCGUCAGCUGCAGCCGCGUCAUCGUCCUCAGGGUGAAGGGGCGAAGAUGAAGAGGAGGUGGGGGAGGAAGAGAAGGAGGGUCAGAAGAUAAAGAAAAAGAAAAGGACACCUCCAGGUGGAGAAAGAACAAACUGAUGAACAAGCACAAGGACGAUGAACGAGGACACCUAAAGAGGCUGAACAAGAUCAGCGCAAACUGCUUUGUUUUUGUUUUCCACUUUAUCGUCAUUUGAUGCUGAAUAAAUGACUAAUCUGA
rnacentral:misc_RNA from 1 species